rnacentral:hammerhead_ribozyme from 1 species
GCACUGCUGAGGAGUCCCAUACCAGGACGAAACGGCCGUCUAGUAC